rnacentral:rRNA from 1 species
UUGGCGACCGGCGCACGGGUGAGUAACGCGUAUGCAACCUACCUACUACAGGGGAAUAACCCGGAGAAAUUCGGACUAAUACCGCAUAAUACAGGGGUCCCGCAUGGGAAUAUUGUUAAAGAUUUAUCGGUAGUAGAUGGGCAUGCGUUCCAUUAGCCAGUUGGUGAGGUAACGGCUCACCAAAGCAACGAUGGAUAGGGGAACUGAGAGGUUUAUCCCCCACACUGGAACUGAGACACGGACCAG